rnacentral:rRNA from 1 species
CCUACGGGAGGCAGCAGUGGGGAAUAUUGCACAAUGGGCGAAAGCCUGAUGCAGCGAUGCCGCGUGAGCGAAGAAGUAUUUCGGUAUGUAAAGCUCUAUCAGCAGGGAAGAUAAUGACGGUACCUGACUAAGAAGCACCGGCUAAAUACGUGCCAGCAGCCGCGGUAAU